UACGUAGGGUGCAAGCGUUAAUCGGAAUUACUGGGCGUAAAGCGUGCGCAGGCGGUUUUGUAAGUCUGUCGUGAAAUCCCCGGGCUCAUCCUGGGAAUUGCGAUGGAGACUGCAAGGCUAGAAUCUGGCAGAGGGGGGUAGAAUUCCACGUGUAGCAGUGAAAUGCGUAGAGAUGUGGAGGAACACCGAUGGCGAAGGCAGCCCCCUGGGUCAAGAUUGACGCUCAUGCACGAAAGCGUGGGGAGCAAACAGG
rnacentral:rRNA from 1 species